UGUGUCCCUUCGCAAAGAAACUGUUUCCCGAGCGGAUGGAUUUCAAUCUCCUCUUUUGCUGCCCGAAUCCCGACGUCUGGCACCUCCCGGGCUGCGGGUCCCAACGCUUCCACCUCACCUUCGACAGAUGCCGUGAAGGUCCAGAUGAUGCGAACACGCCAGCCCACUCAGGGUGCCUCAUCUGUUAGCUGGCCGGCAAGGACGGCUUCCCCUUGACAGGGACACGGAACAGAUUGCUCCUGGUCCUCAGAAAACACAAACCAAAAAAGGAAGGAGAGGCGGAGCAGCCUUUGCCAAACCCUCCUCUCGGAGGGGGGACCCUGGUGAUUCUGGGAAAACGGAAAGCGUUAUGGAAGGCGGGCAAGCCUGCCGGCAGGGACGGAGCAGGAAGCUCGGAGUCCAGAAGGGGCCCGUCCGACCAGACGUCUUCUGUGUCACCUAGGACAAAGCCGUUUAAUUGUGCCAUUAUCUCUGAGCUUUUAUUAUCCUGGCCAUCGAUCUUCCCGGUUAAUGAAGCCCAUAUAAUUAAACGACCGGAAAGCUACGCCCGGCCUCAAUGAACCCUCUCUCAGGCAGGACGCAGCCCCAAAGGAGAGCACCGCCCCUCAGCCUCCUGGCCUCUUCUGUCCCUUGGCUGGCCUGAAGGACACGGGGACACCGGGACGGCCCGGCCCUGACCCCGACCCCCGCCGAGACGGCAGGGUGGGCUGUCCCAUCCCUGCUGACUGCGGAGUGCGGGCAGAAGUCCUGGUUCCGGUCACCGUGACCUCGGUGACUGUCUGUCAGCUCUGGAGACGCAGAAGUUGCCCUCUUCCGGUUUCCAGCGUCUGCUCCAUCUCCCACCUGGACUCAGUCCUGGAGCUCCAGACGCCUGUUCCUUCUGCAGGUUCCGGACCCAGGGCCCCCUCUGCUGGCGACACAGCCCUGCAGUCCUGGGAGUCUGCCGCUCAGCGCACCACGCCCUGGGGGAGGCAGGCUCAUUACUCGCGUCCCACUCGGGACCCCGGCGUGUCCUCUGCAGACGGCCACGGAGCAGGUCCACCCCACAAAAGAAGAAGCUCGUCCAUGUCCCCAGGACAAACACAGCUCCUCCUCCGGGCCAUCCCCGUGGCUGUCCCACAAACACAGGAUGUGCUUCGUGAACCGUGAUGUGACCUGUGAGUCGCCCUCACAGAAGAGCCAGUGCCGGGGGUUUUUGGUUUUUUUACUUGAAAUUUGACACCAAACGGAGCCUGUUUCCACUUUCAGUGAAACAAAGCCAACCUUCCACAGAGCCUGCAACAGCGGGCCAAGCAGCUGCACCCUGAGCCGGGAGGAGGAAGAGGCUGAACCUGGCCCCGCCAACCUUGGGGACAAGGUGCAGGGCUGGCUGUCAGGUGCAGAGCGGCUGUGCGGCCAGAGGAGUCUGAGUCGGGGCCCAGGCCCACCGUGAGCAGCGGUCAGGACUUGGGUCCCUCCAUGCCCAGCGGAGGCUGGAAGGGAGCCGGUGGGUGGAGCCUUGGCUGCUUCGAUGCCUUGUGGCCAGAAGAACGAGGAGCUGACUUCAGGACGCUGUCCCCAGCGGGCAGCCGAGACCCCAGCCCAGCCUGUGGGUCUCAGGGCGUCAGCCCCAGGCCCCCAGCGCACACCCUCCACGGGGUGGCCAGGAAGGAGCGGCUGGUUCAGGCAGGGCCGCGGGCUCUCAGCCACCAGAAAAGAACGUUAGGGACAGAACCACAGGGACCCAGGAGGCAUUCACGGGGCCGCAGACACACAGGGCCGGGAAAUGAGGCCUCUGGGAACUGGCCCCUUGGCUGGAAGUGACCGCAGGAGCCUCAGGGCCCCACGCAGCGUCUGGCGCGGCUCCAACGGGCACCCGCCCUGUCUGUCUGCUGAGCCAGCCCCGGCCGCCACGCCGAUUGUUUCGUAACACACACACGUGAGAGCACCCGGCCUUUCAGGCAGCGGCUCCCUGCCCCUCUCUGUCUUCGAGCUGAGAUUUGAUUGCUUUUUUAUCACUAAAUUAAAUGUCUUCUCUUGCUU